UGCUAUUGAGGGCAAGUACCAUAGCUGAUUACCUCCGAAUCCCUGUGCCUGGCGCAUGAGGCAUAAGAAGACGUGAUGCCUUGACCUGUUGCAGUCAUCUUGCAGCCAUUGGGGGGAUAAACCAACUGUGAAUACCAGACGGUGCAGGGGAGAGCUUCGUUCCUUGAGGGAGUGCUGCUGAGUGAACCAGCCCUGGAAAUGCCUGCCUCAGGACUUCUGGAGAGCUGGUAGUGGCUGCUGUAAACCUGGGCAAUUACCCAUCAAGAUCACAGCAUUGUGACCUCGUCUUGACCUCCCAGUUGAGUGU